AGCUCCAAUAGCGUAUAUUAAAGUUGUUGCAGUUAAAAAGCUCGUAGUUGAAGUUCUGGCUGUUCAGGUCCUCAGCCAUUUAGGCGGGGAUUCUGACAGUCAUCCGCUUGCAAGCAUAUGUUCGGCCUUAAACAGCUGGCUAUGUGAGUAAGCAAUUUACCUUGAGAAAAACAGAGUGUUCCAGGCAGGUUUGUCCGGGAUGCGUUAGCAUGGAAUAAUAGAACAUGACUGAAGUCUAUUUAUUGGUUUAAGGCUUUAGUAAUGAUUAAUAGGAACAGUCGGGGGCAUUCGUACUCAGCAGUCAGAGGUGAAAUUCUAAGAUUUGCUGAAGACGAACUAAUGCGAAAGCAUUUGCCAAGGAUGUUUUCA
rnacentral:rRNA from 1 species